rnacentral:rRNA from 1 species
AUUGAACGCUGGCGGCAGGCCUAAUACAUGCAAGUCGAGCGAGCGGCGGACGGGUGAGUAAUGUAUGGGGACUGCCCGAUAGAGGGGGAUAACUACUGGAAACGGUGGCUAAUACCGCAUACUAUCGGAUAACCCAUAUGGGAUGAGCUAGUAGGUGGGGUAAAGGCUCACCUAGGCGACGAUCUCUAGCUGGUCUGAGAGGAUGAUCGGCCACACUGGGACGGAGACACGGCCCAGACUCCUACGGAGGAAGCAGUGGGGAAUAUUGGAAAAUGGGCGCAAGCCUGAUGAAGCCAUGCCGCGUGUAUGAAGAAGGCCUUGGGGUUGUAAAGUACUUUCAGCGGGGAGGCGUUACCCACAGAAGAAGCACCGGCUAACUCCGUGCCAGCAGCCGCGGUAAUUC